GGCCCGUUCGUCUAGCGGUCUAGGACGCCACCCUUUCACGGUGGAAACACGGGUUCGAGUCCCGUACGGGUCACCA
rnacentral:tRNA from 2 species